UACGAGUGCGUCGAGCGUUAUCCGGAAUCAUUGGGCGUAAAGGGUGUGUAGGCGGCGAUGUUAGUCUCGUGUUAAAUUCCUCGGCUCAACCGGGGCGCUGCACGAGAAACGGCAUUGCUUGAGAUCGGUAGGGGCCACUGGAACUCUAGGUGUAGCGGUGAAAUGCGUAGAUAUCGGAAGGAACACCAGUGGCGAAAGCGGCUUCCUGGUCCGACACCGACGUUCAGGCACGAAAGCGUGGGGAGCAAACAGG
rnacentral:rRNA from 1 species